AUGCUUAAUGUGCAUCACCGUUUGGUGCACAAAUUUAGAAUUGCACGACAGAGUCUCUGUACUCCUGGUGUUUCUGUUGUCUCGAUUCGUUUUUUGGGCAACGAUGGUGGUGCCCAUGGUACACGUUUUUCUGGCCCUACUGCUUCUGAAGUGGCUGCCCUUAUUGUUGGUGAUCUGACACCUGAAUGCAGAAGGUUUGACGUCAUUGCCGAGACGCGGUCUGGUUCGUUGAAGCAUAUAUCUUCACUUAAUUGCAACCUUAUGGCUUUACAAUAUCCUAUACUUUUCCCAUAUGGUGACAAGAGCUAUCACCGUGGCAUUAGAUAUGUUCAUGCCAGUGGUUUCCCGGCCACAUGUUAUGCAAAUGUGCAGGCCGAAGGUUGUAUGGACGGCGAAGAUUCCGACGAUGAUGUCGACUGUAAUCCCGAAGAUGCUGGCAUUUCUCGUGGUCAGGUUACCAUGUUGGAGUACUAUAAGUACUAUGCUCACUAUCGUGAAGGCGAGGUGAAUCCUUACACAAGUUGUGGUCGGCUGAGCCAGCAAAUUGCUGUCAAUGCUUACUUUUGUGUGGAGGCUGAUCGUCUAGAGUAUCAUUUCCGUAAGCAACAUAAUCUUCGAUCUGAGACCUAUCAAGGCAUAUCUGAUGCUAUGGGUGAGGGUAAUUCAACUGGCAAAAAUGUUGGUGUGCAGUUUAUACUGCAUGGCAGUUUUACAGGCGGCCCGCGGUAUAUGCUUCUGAAUUAUCAUGACGGGAUGGCAAUCUGUCGGCAGUAUGGUGCACCUGAUCUGUUUAUUACUUUUACAUGUAAUCCUAGGUGGCAAGACAUUGCUGAUGCUCUCGCUGCCGAACCUGGACAGACUACGGCUGAUCGUCCUGAUAUUACUACUCGAGUUUUCAGUAUGAAGUAUGAGGAAUUUCUUGAUGGGGUUAAAGAUGGUACCUUUUUUGGUGCCGUUCAAGCAUACUUAUAUGUUGUGGAGUUCCAAAAGAGAGGGCUGCCACAUACGCACACGUUGGUGUGGUUGAAGGCGGAUACCAAAGAUCCUUCUCCUUCGUUUAUAGAUGGACUAAUUUCUGCAGAGCUGCCGGAUCCUUUAGUUGAUCCAUUAGGUUAUGCUCUUGUUGAUGAGUUUAUGGUGCAUGGUCCUUGUGGAGUGUAUAAUAUUAAGUGUGCCUGCAUGAAGAACAAUUGUUGUUCCAAGCGCUUUCCUAAACCGUUGAGCGAGGAUACAAUGGUUGACCAUGUUGGAUAUCCAGUUUACCGUCGACGUGAUACUGGUUUGUAUGUACUUAGACAAAAGGAUUCGCUACGUCUGGGAAAUCAAUGGGUUGUUCCGUAUAAUAUGAAAUUGUUGAAGAGAUUUGAUGCACAUAUAAACGUUGAGUGGUGCAACAAGACGAACUUGUUAAAAUAUUUGUUCAAAUAUCUCACAAAGGGUCAUGAUGUAGUUCGUAUGCGUUUCCACGUUGAAGAUAGACCCCCAGGUGUUUUCACUGUUCCAUGUCCUAUUGGGAGGAAUGAAAUUGACGACUAUAUCAAAUGCAGGUAUCUGUCUGCUUGCGAGGCUUUUUUGAGAUUGUUUGCAUACAAUACCAUGGUCGCCAACCUUUUGUCGAGCGGUUGGUUGUUCAUUUGCCCAAUAUGA
rnacentral:rRNA from 1 species